CUCAGUUCGGAUCGGAGUCUGCAACCCGACUCCGUGAAGCUGGAUUCGCUAGUAAUCGCGCAUCAGCCAUGGCGCGGUGAAUACGUUCCCGGGCCUUGUACACACCGCCCGUCAAGCCAUGGGAGCCGGGGGGUGCUUGAAGUGCGUCGCCGCAAGGCGCGCCCUAGAGCAAAACCGGUGACUGGGGCUAAGUCGUAACAAGGUACC
rnacentral:rRNA from 1 species